GGUGGGACCCGAUAGGUGACGGUCCUCUCGCCACCAAGCGUCCAGUUGCCAGCAGUGGGCUUGGAAGCAGGCUACGCUGCGUGGGAAAUGCACUUGGUGCAGGAAAGGGGAUGUCCUUAGCCAAGGUACUGGAAAACUGAAGGAAAACAGAUGAAACUGCAGAUCCCUCAACAAAAACGUGAGCAGGUGACACUUGACGUGGCAGGUUUGUGGUGCUGGAAAUAUCCAAAUAAUUUUCUAGGACGGUUUCUCUGAUAAAGCAGAUUUUAUUUGCAAUUGCAAUGGCGGGCCUCCUGCAAGCAGGAGAGCCCCGAGAAAGCAGUGUUACAUCUUUUAUCCCCUAUUGCCCGCCGCUGAUCUCUUUCUCCCCUGGUUCCUCAUUGGCUGAGUACUGCAGGUUCACACUCUUUCGUGACGUUUCACUAAUCAUACAAACACCGAGUAGACACAAAUCUUUGCCGCCCAGAUGCAAAUGUCUUCACUGGUUAACUGACUUCUAACAAUUGCUUUCUUAACAAACAAAUUUGGUCGUAACUUUUUGGAUGUCAGUUUUACAGCAUAAACAUGGAAAUAGCCUCAAUCGUUUAAUUACCCCCCCCUAACAUUUGUGCCCCUUCACACUGGUCAUUGUUCUGGUCAUUCACCUGUCCUUGCAUAGAGAUAAGCUCGGAAGGAGGAUAGAGGGGAGUACCUUGGAGCCUGCCUAUGGCAUCCUAACAUUCCCACAAAGUGGGACAGUUCUGCUUUGUAUAAAGGCCCUGACUCCUUGAAAGUUUGUUCAAUGUGUUUUGCUUCUGCCGGUCUAAUGAACAACCUCACAAUCUGUUUCCUAGUUCACAGUACUAUACCCAUAUUGUUUAGAACAUUCAAAAUCUAUUGCAGCUUCGUGAGAAAGUGUUUGUUAGGUAAUUUGGUAACUAUGUUUCUAAAAUAUGUUACUAAUAUGUAUAUGGUAUUCUUACUUUCCACAUCAGCUAUUUCUAAGGGUAUGUUGCAGCUUAAUUCUUUAGAUCAAUUGCCCUUUUCAAUGUUCAGGGCAGAAACAACACUUUCACUUUCCACAGUGGGAAGGUCAGCUUCCCCGUGUUUGUGUGUCAGCCGUCAUCCUCCGUACCGGAGAGGCUUUAUCUGCUCGUCUUGCUUAAUUGCAGCACGUUUCACACGCAUGGACAACCUGUGCAAUAGCACCCUUGAUCCAGACCCCAUUUCCAUAUUGCAUCCCUUCCUCAAUGGCCGGAGGCGUCAUGGGAGCAUGGAGCAGGAAAUAAUUCCCUCUUGGGGUAGUUGAAGCACUAUGAAAGUCUGCCAGGUGAAGCCGUGCGUGCUCCAUCCCCGGAGGUGUUCAGGGUCAGUCUGGAUGGGGCUCUGGGCAGCAUGACCCCGCGGGUGGCAUCCCUGCCCACGGCGGUGGGGCUGGGGUUCUAAGCUCUUUGCUGUCCCUUCCAACCCAAGCCAUUCUAUGACUCUGCGUUUCUGUGACGUAAGCACCGGCCCCACGCAGCCCUGGUGCAGUGCAUCACAAGAGCAGCAGCCUGCGGGGAGCCGCCGCCCGGAAUCUCGGAGCCGUGAGGUCACAAUGCCCCGUCCUAUGACUGUGCUGUGCUGUGCUGUGCCGCAGGCUUCGCUCUGUGCGACACUCACUGUGGCUGCAGCGGUGGUGUUGGAAGCAUGGUGCGAGUGUGGGGGGCCAUGGCCCCUGCCCGCCUUGUCCUCUUCCUCCUACUGAUGGCCAUGUGUUUCCGGGAGACUUGUGCUGCUCCGUGGCGAGCACCGGGAGCAGGUGGGUGGGCAGAGAUGGGACCCAAACCGAGCAGCACUGGCGGCAAGAAGUCAGGCUGUGUCCCCACGGCCCUGUGCCACGCUUCCCUGGGGCCUGCCUUCCACGGGGGUGCUGUCGGGCAGGGGGUGAGGGCCAGCGCAGCAGGAGCCGGGCCGGAGCCCGUGGCAGCGCUGCUCCCCAGAGCCGGCUCCAGCCACGCCGGGCCAUGGCUCUGCUGCUUGCUGGCUGGAGCACAGCCUUCAUCCUGGGAGACGUCCUGGGGAGAGCUGGGAAAAGCGUGAGCAUUUCUGCUCCAGGCUCGUGGUACUCGUGGUACCAUAGGUGAAUGCCAGCUUCCAACACAGAGCCCCGGCCCACGGCCCAGAGGAAGAGACAGGCGUGCCUUCCUCCAGUGCUUCAGGGUGACCUUCCUGUCCGUUAGAGGCCUCCCAGUAAGAAAGCCCCGGGGGGCUGCAUCUUCUUCCACGCGGUCCGUGAGGGAUGUGGCACACGGCUUGGGGCGAGCACUGUGUACGCUGCCAGGUGCCAGCCUACACGUCAUCCUGGCCACUCCGCAACUUUGGAAAUCGUGACCUGAGUCCUUCUGCCAUCCCGUUGCACGACCCGCAUCCAGUGACCGAGGGAGAAGGAGAUCACGCCAUGCAAUGGGAAUUUCUCCCAUCUGUUCUUGAUUCUAGGUGAUGCCCUUGGUGCUCCCUUUGCAAAUGAUCGUUUGGGUUUGGAUUUUGUGCCUGUGCCUGUGGAACAACCCAGAGGCCCUGCUGGUGAAUCCACAGGAGAGUAUCCUGUCUACGAGCCUGAAGGGGAUGCUGGAGGUAAGUCAGCAGGCUUCAUUUCCUCGGUAUUGGAUCAUAUUUGGCUGGGAUAGUUCAGCAAGGGUUCCGCUUUUCAGCGGCCAGCGGGUUCUUCUCCCCGAGAAGCGUGGAUGGCCGUUGUUUCUUGGGUGCUCCGUGCUGUCAGCGUGGUGUUGCCUUCGUCCCUGUAUCUCCGAGGUCUCUCAGCAAGAAGAUUUCAAGGGGCUGAGUGUUCUUCCAUGAGGUCCCUGAGCAUUGUUUCCC